UAUAUCUGUCAGCUAACAAUUCCAUUGCUAUGGGCUGAGAACUUAUUUCAGAAAACAUACUAUUUGAAGAGAUCUCAGUGCUGCAAUCUAAUACUUUUCUCUGCUUAUCACCAAUGCUCCUCCCCCUCUUUAUCUGUAUAUAGUUUGGAUCAUAAUGGAAAAGUUGUUCAAAUCAACUUUAACAAUGCUACUCGGGACUCAAUCCUUGAUGUCCCUGUGGAACUGGUGCAUCCUUUCCUUUCUGCUCUCAAGGACUAUGUGAAUCUUAUGUACAAGCUGGAAAACCUACUUACUUUCAAUUUGGAAGCAGGAGAUGUACUAACCUUUGAUAACUGGAGGAUAUUACAUGGCCGUCAGAACUAUAUUUCGACUGCUGGUUCUUCACGUCGCCUGGAAGGAGCUUACGCAAGCUGGGAUGAGGCUAUGUCACGACUGCGUUGCUUAGAGCAAGCAUUGUAUGGCAACAAAUAGAUACUUCAGAUAUUAAAAAAAGGUUGUAAUAGAGCAGGCCAUUGAUCGAUAAUAAGUGAUUUUUAGUAUUAAAACAGUAAAUUCUAAAAUUUGACAAUGCAUGCCCCAGAUAUAAUCAUGUAGGAGAAGCAGGAUGUGUGAGUUAAUACUUAUAUGAUUCUGGGAAUAAGAAAAUGUUAGUAUUUCAGAGGAUCACUUAAAUCAAGCAUUUCUGACUGGGAGGGAGGCCGGAUUGGGAAACUGAUACUGAACAGUAUUCCCUCUGAGCUAUGAGCCAAUCCGUCAAGUGGUGCACACAUCUUGCUGAAUAAAUGAGGUUUACUGCAAGUCUGGGAAGCAAGUUUAGCUCACAAACAAAGAACUGGUGGCCUCCCACCUAAUAGAAAACCAACAAACAAGUGGCAAGCUGACAUGAUUAAUCAGUUAGAAUUAAAAUCCAAAUUGCACCCCGGUUGGUUCUUGGAGCACGAAGCCUCUCACCACUUCCUUCCCCAACUCUCCCUUCCUCUUGCAGUCUCUUUGCUGGGUCUUCGCUCAUGCAUGUUGUGGCUGGAAAAGCUUUUGGGUGAGUGGUUGACUACUACACUGUAUUUAUGCAAAAAUGUGGUCUUAGGGAAUAAAAAUAUGGAGUUGACUUAUAUGUUGUGUCAACUUUACGCUAUAAUGUAAGGUACAAUAUAAAGGCAAGUACUUCUUCAUCACAUAAAAUAAUCACAUAUCUAGAUUUUAAAAAUCCACAAUACAGUACAGAAUUAAGUAUGCAAAUAUAUGGAGUCUGAAGAAAAGGCAAAGGGCACUGUCUGGAGUAAAUAUAUGAAAAUAAUUGAAAAAUGUUUUGUCACAAACAAAAAUCGCAAUUCUACCAGUAAAAAUAUUCUAUUUUCCAAACUGUUUGUAGAAACCCAAUUUAUUGUUUGAAAAUUUAGCAGCUGAUUCAAGCAAAUGAAAAAUUCAAUGAACUGGCAAUAAAUAACUGUCUAAAAUGUAAUAGGCCUCGGAGGCCAUUUCCAAUGGUGCUUUCAGGUGUUAUAGAGUCUGCAAAUGAUGUCUGAAUAUGAAUUGUCAAUUUAGUCUAUUUUUAAUGCAGGAUAUCAUCUGUAACCUUGCACUUGGAAGAGCCACCUCCUAGAGUAUCAUUAAGAAGUUAAUUAUCACAGUAAUGAGUGCUUGCAAUAUAAGUACCAAAUUGAAUCCACUUGACAACCAAUCAGCACUCUCCACUCCUACAGUAUGCAGUCGUUUUCCUUUAGUAUUCUUACAAAUUGUCCGGUGCAAGACGAAAAGCUUCAACAAAAAGUGUCUUUCUAGAUAAUAUUCAAGGUCUGUACUGUUUGUUACUGACUGUCUCCCAUGGUAUUUUCCCAGAUGACCAUCUUGGCAACUUGUAGUAUUUGCCACCUCUGGCAAUAUGUAGUACUAGGUAAGGUUUGUGCUACAACUGCCUGGGGUGGGGUCGGGCACUGGAAAUAAAGCCCUAUUAUACCCAGAGUCAACACAAAUGUGAAAAUCUGAUUAAACAACUGAAUUGCCAAAGUUUGAAAAACAAAAAGAUACACACUAGGUUUUUAUGAUUAAGAAGAAAAUAUCUAUUUAUUAUAAUCAAACAAUUUUAACAAGUGGCAAGAAAGAGACAUGAAUUGCUAACUUGUAACUAUAACUUAAAAUUCUACCACUCUUAAAAAUUCUUGCACACAUACAGACACACAAAGAUUACAAGUGGGGAAGGAACAAAAAUGUUGGUGAAGCACAAUUCUAGCACUAGUUGGAAAUACAGGCAUUGAUGAGUGGUUUUCCUUCUGUUCUCUUCUGAUGAGGUCAUGGAGUUGUGGAUAUGCCAGUUCCCCACUCUUCCAUUCAUUGAUGGUUGAAGAUUUGCCCUUUCACACAUGGUGGAAGAUUUGCCCUUUCAGUGUCUCAGAAGAUGUUUGUUCUCCUUUUCCUGCCACAAAGGAAUUUGCACACGGAGAGGUAGCAAGCUGCUCAGAAUUUUCUUUAACUUCUCCACACACAGAAGGGAGAGAGGGAGAUAGGUGCUUUAUCCUUCAGAGGCUGGAUGGUCGUGCAGUAUUAUUCAAACAAAACUGUCACCACUCAGCCAGGAACCAAUCAAGAUGUUGUUACUAUGCUGAGUACUCCUGAACACACACAACUGGCCCUGAUUGAAAAAUCAAUCAAAAGUCUGUCACUGUGCAAGAUGUCUAGUACUUCAUCCACUGCUUGAAUAAGUCAACAUUAUAAAUAUAACUCAUUGUAAGUUCUGGUAACUUUUUUUAAAACUGUGAUUCAGGGCAAUAUCUUUUCCCAUCUUUUAGUCCUCUGUCCAGAAAUAGAAGUUGUCAUUACUAUUGUUUCAUGGUAUUUGUUACCACAGAGGGCUACAGAGACUGGUUCAUAAAGUAUAUUCAAGGCUGAGAGAGAGACAGAUUUUUAAUCAGUAAGGGAUUCAAAGAGUGUGUGGAUAAGGCAGGAAAUGGAGUUGAGGAUUAUCAGAUCAGUCGUGAUCUUUUAUUGAAUGGGAGAACAGACUCGAUGGGUCAAAUAGCCUACUUCUGUUCCACAGAUUUGCUACCCUCUUGGAGAAGAAAUCUCUGUCCUAACUGGAUGACUCCUUACUCUGGAAUUAUGGCCUCUGAUCUUAGACUUUUCCACAAGGGGAAAUAACCUCUCAGCAUCUCCCUUUCAUGCCUCCAAAGAAUCUUAUAUAUGUCAAUAAGGUCCUUUCUCGUUCUUCUAAACUCCAAUGUGUAUAGGCCAACAAAUUCAUCUUUUCCUCAUAAGAAAAUCCUUCCAUACCUAGGAUCAAACUUGUGAGCCCUCUAUAGGCUGCCUCCAUUGCCAGUAUAUUGUUCUUUAGGAAAGGGGGACAAAACGGUUCACAAUAUUCUAAAUGUGGUCUAACUGGUAUCUUAUUUAGCUUUAACAGGACCUCCCUGUUUUUAUACUGAAUUCCCUUUGAACUGAAUGUCGACAUUCUAUUUGCCUUCCCCAUUACCUACUGAAUUUGUGUGCCAACUUGUUGUUAUUCAUGAAUGAGGGUUUCAAAAUCUUUUUGUGAUUCAGCUUUCUGUAGGCUUUCUACAUUUGAAUAAUAGUCAGAUCCUGUAUUCCUCCAGCAAAAGUGUGUUACUUCACAUUUCCCCACAUUAUAUUCAAUCUGCUCAAUUUUUACCAACUCAUUUAACCUUUCUAUGUCCAUCUAUAGACACUUUGUGUCAUCCUCACAUUUGCCUUCCCACCUAUUUUUGUGACAUCUGCAAAGUUGGUGAUUUUUUUUGCCUUCAUUCAUGGCACGUGGGCAUUGCUGGCUGGGCCAGUAUGUAUUGCCCAUCCCUAGUUGCCUUUGAGAAAGUGGUGGUGAGCUGUCUUUUUGAACUGCUGCAGUCCACAUGCUGUAGGUAGACCCACAAUGCCUUUAGGGAGAGACCCAGCGACAGUGAAGGAUUGGCAAUUUAUUUCCAAGUCAGUAUGCUGAAUGGUUUGGAGGGGAACCCGCAGGUGGUGAUGUUCCCAUGUAUCUGCUGCCCUUGUCCUUCAAGAUGGAAAUGGUUGUAUGUUUGGAAAAUGCUUUCUUUGGUGAAGUCCUGCAGUGCACAUUGUAGAUAAUACACACUGCUGUUACUGAGCAACGGUGGUGAAGGGAGUGGAUGUUUGUGAAUGUGGUGCCAAUCAAUCGGGUUGCUUUAUCUUGGAUCAUGUGAAGCUUCUUGAGUGUUGUUGGAGCUGCACCCAUCCAAGCACGUGGGGCAUAUUCGUCACUCUCCUGACUUGUGCCUUGUAGACAGUGGACAAGCUUUAGGGAGUCAGGAGGUGAGUUACAGUCCGCAGUAUUCCUAGCUUCUGAUCUGUUUUUGUAAACACUAUAUUUAUGUGGUGAGUCAACUUGAGUUUCUGGUCAACGGUAACCCCCAGAUGUUGAUAGUGGGGGAAUUCAGUGAUGUUAACACCGUUGAAUGUCAAAUGCAGGUGAUUAGAAUGUCUUUUAUGGGAGAUGGUCAUUGGCUGCAUUUGUGUGGCGUGAAUGUUACUUACCACCUGUCAACCUAAGCCUGGAUAUUGUCCGGAUCUUGUUAGAUUUGAGUAUGGACUGCUUCAGUAUCUGAGGUUCAUGAAUGAUGCUAGCAUUGUGCAAUCAUUGGCAAACAUGCCCACGUCUGCCCUUAUGAUGGAAAGAAGGUCAUUGAUGAAGCAGCUGAAGGUGGUUGGGCUGAGGACACUACCCUGAGGAACUCCUGCAGAUAUAUCCUGGAGCUGAAAUGUUUGACCUCCAUCAAUCACAACCAUCUUCCUAUCCACCAGGUAUGACUCCAACCAGCAGAGAAUUUUCUUUAUUUUGAUUUACUAAUGUCACAUAUACCAAGACACAGUGAAAAAUAUUGUUUUGCAUAACAAAUCAGACCAGACAAAUCAUACCUUACAUUAUUAUAUCAGGGUAAUAGAACAGAAUGCAGAAUGUAGUGUUUCAGCCAUAGAGAGUUUGCCCAAUACCCAUUGAUACCAGUUUUGCUAGGGCUCCCUGAUUCCAACUCGAUUGAAUAUGGCCUUGAGGUCAAGGGCACUGACUUUCAUCUCACCUCUGGAAUUCAGCUCGUUUGUCCAUGCUUGCACCAAGGCUGUAACGAAGUCAGGAGCUGAGUGGCCCUGUCGGAACCCAAACUGGGCAUCACUGAACAGGUUAUUGCUGAGCAGUUGCUGCUUGAUAGCACUGUUGAUGACACCUUCCAACACUUGCCAUCUUGACGAUGUCCUCCUUAUCCCAACUCUUCUGUUAGCUAGCCCAUCCUGUAUCCAUGCUAAUAUAUUACCCCUAACACCAUGGGCUCUUGUCCCGUUAAGUAGCCUAGUAUGCAUUACCUUAUCAAGUGCCUUUGGAAAUCGAAAUAUAUUGCAUGUACUGGUUCCCAUUUACCUAUCUUGCCAUGGUGUACCAGUCCAAUCCACUCCUGACUGUUAGUGUAAGUUGGAGUGAGGAGCUGAUCCACACAGAUCUUAUCUACCUAGAACUUUAGCAUAAACACUGCCUACGUCUUGUUUUAGCACCUCCAGGCAAGUUCAAAUGAUGGCAAUCAGAAAUUUGGACCACAAUUGUGAGCUAAAGCCAGACUUUCAUAUUGUCCUGUUAGCAGCUAUUCAGUUCAUGUUUUCACCUUCGCCCUCCAGAUUUCCUGGAUUCAGCUUAGCUUUUCUCAAAGUUCCAUCUCUUAACUAACUCUUCUAGGAGUCUUAACAAUACGCUUAAAAUAAAACAAAUAACAUGUGCUUCAGACCUGAAACAAAAACAGAAAUUGCUGGGGAACUCAAUAGGUCUGGCAGCAUCUGUGGGAAGAAAGCAGAGCUAAUAUUUUGAGCCUGGUGACUCUUUAUCAGAGUCCUGAUGUGCCACAUGCACCAAAUCUUAAUCCUCAAAAGCCACAUAUGAAAAAGUCCUUCAUAUUUUCUGCCAUUGUCUCACCCCCUUGUAUUUCCUCAAUACGUUCCAAAAGUUCAAAACUCUGUAUUCUUGAGCAAAUUCACUCCACCAGUGGAAAUUCCAUCCCUAAACAUCCCUCUCCUCUUUGAAAGCUUAAUUCCUUGACUGAGCAUUUGGUCAUCUUGAAUAACAUCUUCUCCUUAGGAUCAUUGUCAAGUGAUGAAGGAGCUGCGUUCUGAAAGCUUGUGAUUUCAAGUAAACCUGUUGGACUAUAACCUGGUGUGUGUGACUCUGACUUUGACCACCCCAGUCCAACACCGCCACCUUCACAUCAUGGCUACCGCAGGAUCAGUGUCAGCUCUUGCCUGAUUAAACUGUUGAGCCUUUAGAAAUGCCUUCUCGGCACUUUUUGACAUCAUGUGAAAAUGAGCCCAAGUCCCACCAGCUCCAGAGUUGUGUAACAACAUCUCCAACCAGGUUGAUUAGAAAAACAGGUUAAAUGAUUAAAAAAAAAGAUUUAGCAAUUUAGAUACAGAAUCAAAGUAUCCUACUGUACUUUUGUAUUAGGUUUAUCUUCUAUUAGUGUGUGAUUGUUUUUGAAUUAAUACAAUGUCUUUUGUAUAUGAGUGAUUCAGCCACUCAUGAUUGUACCAACUGAAUAAGUAGGAAUAUUCAUCCAGCCCACCUUAUAACUGCUGAUGAUUCUUAUCCACUUCUGUUUCAUACUCUAUGUAGAUUUUUAAAAUUGCCCACCAUGUAAUCCUGUUGAUUAGUUUGAUAUUGCUUUGUUUAACAUUAUAAAUAAAUUUGUGAUCUAUUUUUAAAUGUAAAUUAGCCAUUUUAAAUACAACAGCUAACGCAUUCCACUCAUCAGAAGGCCUCCAAAAAGUGCAGAGUCAUUUAAGAGACACAAUCUGAGUCAAUGAACUAAUCGUGCUAAAAAAACAGAAAUUGUUGGCGAAACUCAGGAGGUCUGGCAGCAUCUGUGAGGAGAAAGCAGGCUUAAUGUUUCAGGUCCGGUGACUUUAUCAGAACUGAAAGCAGCUGGGAAUAGGUGGUAUUUACGCUGAAUGAGAUGGGAUGAUCGAUGGGGGUAUAGUUGAAUGAAUAGUUGGAGAUGGAGCCCAGAGAGAGGGCACCAUUCCUUCUGGACUCCCUGGUCCAACCCUCCUCCAUUUCCAACACAUCCCCACGGCAACUGUCCGUGCAGUGGCAGAAGAUGUAACACCUGCCUUUUCACUUCCUCACUAUCCAAGGCCCCAGCCAUACCUUUCAGAUGAAGCAGUGAUUUACCAACACUUCACUCAAUCUAGUCUAUUCACUGCGCACAACAUGGUCUCCUCUACACUGGGGAGUCAAAGCACAUACUUGGUUUCCCUUUGCAGAACAACUAUGUUCUGUCCACAAAAAUGACCCUGAGCUGCUGCUUCUGCCACUGCAACACACUACCAUGCCCUCUGGCCAACAUCUGUCUCAGGCUCGCUGUAGAGCUCUAGCAAAGAUCAGUGCAAGCUGGAAGAGACGCUAAACUUGAAACGUUAAUUUUGCUUUCUCCCCAAAGAUCCUGCAAGACCUGCUGAAUUUCGCUGUCUAUUUCUGUUUUUUGUUUCAGAUCCCCAACAUCUGCAAUUCUGUGUUUUAUUACAUAUAAUUGUGCUUUCUAUCCUGGGAGAAUGGAAUCAGCAGGUGACUGUGUAUACAGAACACGCCUCACCUAAAGCCAAUCAGAAUUAAAUCAUGCUCUGUCUGGUCCAAUCAGAGUUUGUGGAUACCACUGGUCAAGUUGUGGUUGUAAUCUUUGGAAAUGGUUAUUAAGUCCUCACUUCAGUGGUACAGUGUGCAGAAAUCAGAAAGAAGACUUUCAGAAAAGAACUUCAUCCCAGUUAACCAAGAACUAGUAUUCCAUUGUAAAUCAGUUGAGUUCAAUGUCUUGUUAAGUGUCACUCGUGUUGUAUUUGUUUCGAUAUCAAUACAUUUGUAGACCUUGCUGAAA